UACGGAGGGGGCUAGCGUUGUUCGGAUUUACUGGGCGUAAAGAGCGCGCAGGCGGUCGUUCAAGUCGAGUGUGAAAGCCCCCCGGCUCAACUGGGGAGGGUCACUCGAUACUGAUCGACUUGAAGGCAGGAGAGGGAAGCGGAAUUCCCGGUGUAGUGGUGAAAUUCGUAGAUAUUCGCAAGAACACCAGUGGCGAAGGCGGACUUACUGGUCCGGUUCUGACGCUGAGGCGCGAAAGCGUGGGGAGCAAACAGG
rnacentral:rRNA from 1 species